ACAUCCCUGCUGUGCUCGUAUAGGGUUAAUAAAUUUUGAUCCAACACUUUAUAUUUGGGAACCUAACUUUGUUAUUGCCUUUUUGGUGUAGCAAGAGGGUACCCACCUGGAUCACGGGAUCAUAAAUAAUUAACUUCUUACGGCACGGUGGGGUUUUU
rnacentral:other from 1 species